GUCCUGGCAGUAAACGGUGCGCGUUUGGUGUGGGAGGAUUCGACCCCUCCUGUGCCGGAGCUAACGCGUUAAACGCGCCGCCUGGGGAGUACGGUCGCAAGAUUAAAACUCAAAGAAAUUGACGGGGGCCCGCACAAGCGGUGGAGUAUGUGGCUUAAUUCGAUGCAACGCGAAGAACCUUACCUGGCCUUGACAUGCAUUGUGUCGGCGGUGAAAGCCGCCUAGUGUAGCAAUACACGCCUUGCACAGGUGCUGCAUGGCUGUCGU
rnacentral:rRNA from 1 species